rnacentral:rRNA from 1 species
UACGGGGGGGGCAAGCGUUGUUCGGAAUUACUGGGCGUAAAGGGCUCGUAGGCGGCCAACUAAGUCAUACGUGAAAUCCCUCGGCUUAACCGGGGAACUGCGUCUGAUACUGGAUGGCUUGAGUUCGGGAGAGGGAUGCGGAAUUCCAGGUGUAGCGGUGAAAUGCGUAGAUAUCUGGAGGAACACCGGUGGCGAAGGCGGCAUCCUGGACCGAUACUGACGCUCAGGCGCGACAGCGUGGGGAGCAAACAGG